rnacentral:misc_RNA from 1 species
UUUCCUGAUUCACUGCUAGAUUCUGUCGUACUGCUUUCGGUAGAAUUCGUGUUUCCUGAUUCACUGCUAGAUUCUGUCGUACUGUUUACAGUGGAGUUCGUGUUUCCCGAUUCACUGCUAGAUUCCGUCGUACUGCUUUCGGUAGAGUUCGUGUUUCCUGAUGCACUGUUAGAUUCCGUCGUACUGCUUUCGGUAGAAUUCGUGUUUCCUGAUUCACUGCUAGAUUCUGUCGUACUGUUUACAGUGGAGUUCGUGUUUCCCGAUUCACUGCUAGAUUCCGUCGUACUGCUUUCGGUAGAGUUCGUGUUUCCUGAUUCACUGCUAGAUUCUGUCGUACUGUUUACAGUGGAGUUCGUGUUUCCCGAUUCACUGCUAGAUUCCGUCGUACUGCUUUCGGUAGAGUUCGUGUUUCCUGAUGCACUGCUAGAUUCCGUCGUACUGCUUUCGGUAGAGUUCGUGUUUCCUGAUUCACUGCUAGAUUCUGUCGUACUGUUUACAGUGGAGUUCGUGUUUCCUGAUUCGCUGCUAGAUCUCGACGUGCUGCCCUCGGUGGAUACCGAAGUAAUUGUACCAUUCUUGCCACAAGUCGAAUCUUCAGGCCAUACGCAAACUUGAAGCACCGGAUCGAAAUAAAGUCGGCCUCCUUUGAGAUCUCUGUCUGCACAAGUAGUCAGAAUUUUUCUUCCAUUGGAACAAGUGUAAAAGCGAGUGCAGUCCCAUUCGUGUGCGAUAUGAAUAGUCGUAUUCAACGGAUCGAUCCUUGGACAUUCUGUAGGUACAACUACUUCUGCGUUGCUAGAAACAGCAGCUAGUAUGGCCACUAGUACUGUGGCAAAAAGGUGACUUCCUACGGUAGAAAAAACAAAUCAUGUCAAAUUAAUUUCAGGAUACAUUGAUAUUUCAUCAGUUUGAAAAAACAACAAAAAGCGGACGAUCCUAUUUAAGAAAUGAUAAUUAUUUGAACACUCUAAAAAACAGAAACAGUUCUACAAGCAGCUUCUGAAUCGACGACAUGUAUCACGAUCUGUUGGAUCCAGUUGCGUCUUAUUUCACAUAACUACAUGGUUAUUUGGGAAAUCUCUGCCCGACUGGCUUUGCUCAAAAACUCACCAAUCAUAGUAAAUUCACAGAAAUGCGUGUUAACUCCGUAUGCAAUUUUAUCGUUUACCUCAAGAAAUGAUGUCUGAGACGAUACCCCGAACUCUUUUAUAGAGUUCAC